rnacentral:rRNA from 1 species
CUACGGGUUGCAGCAGUGAGGAAUAUUGCACAACGGGGGGAACCCUGAUGCAGCAACGCCGCGUGGAGGAUGACGCAUUUCGGUGUGUAAACUCCUUUUAUAUGUCAAGAAAAUGACGGUAGCAUAUGAAUAAGCACCGGCUAACUCCGUGCCAGCAGCCGCGGUAAUACGGAGGGUGCAAGCGUUACUCGGAAUCACUGGGCGUAAAGGACGCGUAGGCGGGUUGGAAAGUCAGGUGUGAAAUCCUACAGCUUAACUGUAGAACUGCACUUGAAACUCUCAAUCUAGAGUAUGGGAGGGGCAGAUGGAAUUAGUGGUGUAGGGGUAAAAUCCGUAGAUAUCACUAGGAAUACCUAAAGCGAAGGCGAUCUGCUGGAACAUUACUGACGCUAAGGCGUGAAGGCGUGGGGAGCAAACAGGAUUAGAUACCCCGGUAGUC